rnacentral:rRNA from 1 species
ACCUCUUCGAGCCGUUGAAACUGGUUUUCUUGAGUGAGCGAGAAGUAUGCGGAAUGCGUGGUGUAGCGGUGAAAUGCAUAGAUAUCACGCAGAACUCCGAUUGCGAAGGCAGCAUACCGGCGCCCUACUGACGCUGAGGCACGAAAGCGUGGGUAUCGAACAGGAUUAGAUACCCUGGUAGUCCACGCAGUAAACGAUGAAUGCUAACUGUCCGGUGCGAGUGAGCGCUGGGCGGUACAGCGAAAGCGUUAAGCAUUCCACCUGGGGAGUACGCCGGCAGCGGUGAAACUCAAAGGAAUUGACGGGGGCCCGCACAAGCGGAGGAACAUGUGGUUUAAUUCGAUGAUACGCGAGGAACCUUACCCGGGCUCAAACGCAGGCUGACGGGUCCCGAAAGGGGCCUUUCUUCGGACAUUCUGCGAGGUGCUGCAUGGUUGUCGUCAGCUCGUGCCGUGAGGUGUCGGCUUAAGUGCCAUAACGAGCGCAACCCCUGUCCACAGUUGCCAGCAGGUAAAGCUGGGGACUCUGUGGAGACUGCCGGCGCAAGCUGCGAGGAAGGCGGGGAUGACGUCAAAUCAGCACGGCCCUUACGUCCGGGGCGACACACGUGUUACAAUGGCAGGUACAGCGGGAUGCCACGGGGCGACCCGGCGCUGAACCCGAAAACCUGUCUCAGUUCGGAUUGGAGUCUGCAACCCGACUCCAUGAAGCUGGAUUCGCUAGUAAUCGCGCAUCAGCCACGGCGCGGUGAAUACGUUCCCGGGCCUUGUACACACCGCCCGUCAAGCCAUGGAAGCCGGGGGUGCCUGAAGUGCGUGACCGCAAGGAGCGCCCUAGGGUAAAACCGGUGACUGGGGCUAAGUCGUAACAAGGUAACCGUAA